UACGGAGGGAGCUAGCGUUGUUCGGAAUUACUGGGCGUAAAGCGCACGUAGGCGGCUUUGUAAGUUAGAGGUGAAAGCCCGGGGCUCAACCCCCGGAAUUGCCUUUAAGACUGCAUCGCUUGAAUCCGGGAGAGGUGAGUGGAAUUCCGAGUGUAGAGGUGAAAUUCGUAGAUAUUCGGAAGAACACCAGUGGCGAAGGCGGCUCACUGGGACCGGUAUUGACGCUGAGGUGCGAA
rnacentral:rRNA from 1 species